rnacentral:hammerhead_ribozyme from 1 species
ACCUAUCUGAUGAGUCGUAAAUAGGAAGAAAUGCGCAUCCUGGAU